rnacentral:lncRNA from 1 species
AGUCAGGUAGAAUGCUUCUUUUGUAAGAAGCAGGAUCAUUGAAAGAGAAAUUAUCUUCAGUAUAAAGCUUUCCUUGAUCCAAACAAGUCAAAGAAGAAGCAGCAAUUGGUUGCUGGACAAAGUACUUAUGUGAUAACACCUUGAAACUUCUCUCUUUUUGAUACAAUGACCUGAGUAUUGGAUAUCGGAAGCUUCAUUAAUAUUUGCAAUUCG